rnacentral:rRNA from 1 species
AUACGUAGGUGACAAGCGUUAUCCGGAUUUACUGGGCGUAAAGGGCGUGUAGGCGGUCUUGCAAGUCAGAAGUGAAAUUCCUGAGCUCAACUCGGGCGCUGCUUCUGACACUGCAGGACUUGAGUGCUGGAGGGGAUAGCGGAAUUCCUAGUGGAGCGGUAAAAUGCGCAGAUAUUAGGAAUUACACCGGUGGCGAAGGCGGCUUUCUGGACAGUAACGGACACUGAGGCUCGAAAUCGGGGGGAGCAAACAGGAUUAGAUACCCGGGUAGUCCACGCCGUAAACGAUGAAUACUAGGUGUAGGGGGUAUCGACUCCCUCUGUGCCGCAGUUAACACAAUAAGUAUUCCGCCUGGGGAGUACGGCCGCAAGGUUGAAACUCAAAUGAAUUGACGGGG